rnacentral:rRNA from 1 species
GGAGUUUUCGGCAAUGGGGGAAACCCUGACCGAGCAACGCCGCGUGAGCGAUGACGGUCCUUUGGAUUGUAAAGCUCUGUUGUAAGCCAUGAAUGACAGCUUGAGGAAAUGCAAGUUGUUUGACGACAGCUUACCAGAAAGCCACGGCUAACUACGUGCCAGCAGCCGCGGUAAUACGUAGGUGGCAAGCGUUAUCCGGAAUUAUUGGGCGUAAAGAGUGAGCAGGCGGUUGAUUAAGUCUGAGGUUAAAGCGUGGGGCUCAACACCAUAAAGCCUUGGAAACUGAUUGACUAGAGUACGGGAGAAGUGAAGGGAACUCCAUGUGUAGCGGUGAAAUGCGUAGAUAUAUGGAAGAACACCAGUGGCGAAGGCGCUUCACUAGCCCGAAACUGACGCUCAGUCACGAAAGCGUGGGUAGCAAAUA